CUCCCAUUUACUACUUAUGUUUAAUUGCAUUUUUGUAACCACCUUAUUAUACUUAAAGUACCAAAUAGACAUAGAACAAAUAUUUGGACCAGGCAUCACAGAAUUGGUGUUAGCUGAAUUUAUUUUUUUGGCCUCGGACAUUCAACUCAUUUACUGGUAUGCCAUGCUAAAACCAUCUGGCAGACCUUUGAAUUGACCAGUCAAGUUGAGUGUCCAAUGGUGAUACAAAUGCAGAAUCUACCGUUGUCCGUGAUUUUCUCAUCCAGACUACAAACCAAAACCUCAGACCCAACGCAUAUGGAGUCUACAGUUGUGGUCACAAAGAAUAAAAACAUCAGCAUCCCCUUCAACAAAUAUUUUCCACAUUCACAAUUUAAAAGAAAACAUGAAAUCAGACAUAUAUUAGUGGUAAGCUGUUUUCAACCCAAGAGGGUGUAUUCCUUUAAAGAUGAAACUACUGAGAAUUUGGGGGCCUUAAGGACCACCCUAUCGUCUACUAACACAUAUGGCAUUUGCUGGACAUAGUCACCAGAAGUGAAAUGUGGACUUAGUAUUGUGCCACUUCAUCAUUUCAUACCCAUAAGUUAAAAUGUAUUUUACUUUUAUCAUGUUUUAUCCUCUGUUUUACCAGGAAGGGAUCGGGGUGAAACAUCAACAGGGGUAUUACACAUUAAGUUUAAGGAGAAUAAGGUUAAGUCUGUUCAGGGCUUCACUAAAAACAACAUAGACUAAAUAGACAUACAGAAAUGCUCAACAAGAUACCUAUAGUAAUUAUAACAACAAUACAACUAAUUAAGAAACAUUAAUACAAGGAAUGGAUAUCCUGUAGCAAGCAAAAGUUAUCUUACUCCACUGUAUCAUUAAGAGUACCUGUAGCAAGCAAAAUUUAGAUUACAGCGUAUUAUUAAGAUGGUGUUGGUCCGCUGUAAAAGUUGCAUUAUCUAGUGGCUCUAGUCUAUAUACAUGCGUAUAUGUACAGUAUGGAUCCUUCACAACAAACGUACAGUUUAAGGAAGAUGUGGUGUUUAGUUUACUUUACAGUUAAUCACUUAUGGGGACUUAACUACUGGACACUGAGGUGAGUAUUGUCUCAGUAGGAAUAUAAUGAACUCAUCAUGCAAAC